rnacentral:piRNA from 1 species
UGAGAAACUAAAUGAGUUAACAUUGAGGA